rnacentral:rRNA from 1 species
CCUACGGGAGGCAGCAGUGGGGAAUAUUGGGCAAUGGGCGCAAGCCUGACCCAGCAACGCCGCGUGCAGGAAGAAGGCUUUCGGGUUGUAAACUUCUUUUCUCAGGGACGAAGCAAGUGACGGUACCUAAGUAAUAAGCCACGGCUAAAUACGUGCCAGCAGCCGCGGUAAUACGGAGGUGGCAAGCGUUAUCCGGAUUUGCUGGGUGUAAGGGGCGUGUAGGCGGGACUGCAAGUCAGAUGUGAAAACCACGGGCUCAACCUGUGGCCUGCAUUUGAAACUGUAGUGCUUGAGUACUGGAGAGGCAGACGGAAUUCCUAGUGUAGCGGUGAAAUGCGUAGAUAUUAGGAGGAACACCAGUGGCGAAGGCGGUAUGCUGGACAGCAACUGACGCUGAGGCGCGAAAGCGCGGGGAGCAAACAGGAUUAGAUACCCGGGUAGUC